GAGACAGGUGCUGCAUGGCUGUCGUCAGCUCGUGUUGUGAAAUGUUGGGUUAAGUCCCGCAACGAGCGCAACCCUUAUCCUUUGUUGCCAGCACGUAAUGGCGGGAACUCAAAGGAGACUGCCGGUGAUAAACCGGAGGAAGGUGGGGAUGACGUCAAGUCAUCAUGGCCCUUACGAGUAGGGCUACACACGUGCUACAAUGGCGUAUACAAAGAGAAGCGAACUCGCGAGAGCAAGCGGACCUCAUAAAGUACGUCGUAGUCCGGAUCG
rnacentral:rRNA from 1 species